rnacentral:lncRNA from 1 species
UUCUUUCUCACUUGAUUUUCGUGGGUAUGGGGCUUUGGGAGAUAUGAUGGGCAGUUUUGCUUGGUUAAUGCUUUGUGAUAGUUAUUUGUGAAGAGAUUUGACGAAAGCAUGCUAAACUUGUUAUGUUUGAGUGAGUUAAGCUUACCCAUUCAGUUUUAGGGUUUUUAUGAUGAUGCUUUUGAUGUUGGUGUGCUGAAAUUGCUUAUGGAAAACUGCUAGGGAUGAAGGGUAGAGUUAACCUAGGGUUAGAAAGUGAGAAUAUGGUGUUAUGAGUGGAAAAAGAGUGAGUUUUUGAGAGUCAGAAGGCCAAAUCUGGAUUUAGUGGUAUUUGGAGGUUAAAGUGAGUUAAUCCUAGUUUGAAAUGUCAUUUAGGACUUAUGAGGAAGCUUGG